rnacentral:lncRNA from 1 species
AUGGGGCCUGCUGCCGAGUCUCUGAUCCUCUCCGGGAGGAACAUGACGCUGGUCGCUCAGAAGCUCCAUCUUCAGCCGGACUGUCAGAGCCACCAGGAGGAGCUAGUGACCACAGCUCAGCGGAUCCUAGUGGCCACCACGAAGCAGCAGCAGAGCGGCACCCCCGCCAGCGCCCCUGGCUGUCCAGCCUGGCUGCGCGCUGAUCUGGACCAGCCUCUGCCGGAGGACGGCAGCGCGGACAGUGGGAACAGAAUCACCCAGAUUACCCGGGAGAUGGCCAAGGAGGUGUUCCUAAUGGCCCAGAGUUUGAGGAGGAGAGGACGCAUCAUGGUACUUGGCCUUUGUAGGGGAGGAAGACAUUUCCUCUUCCCAAAUGUGCGUUCGUCUGGCUGGAGAAUGAAUUAAAUUCACAUGAGACAGAAUAGCAAGAGAAAAUUAAACAAAGCUUUAUGAGGAACCAUGGCCCGGGGCCUUUCUUCCUGAAGGAAGAAAGGGCACCAAAGAAGUGGGGUGCACAUAGUGGUUAUAUACCCCCAAACAGGGUGUUUCACAUGUGAUUGAAAUGUCCCUCCCACAAUAGUCACAAGAUUGCCCUGUCGGCACAGUGCUUGAUGGACACAGCAGGUAGUGGUCUGCUGUCUCAGAGGGCGUAGCAAGAGGCAAGUCUAUUGUCUUGAGCCGGGUGGUCACAGGUGAGCGCAGCAAUCAGUUCCUAGCCUAAGGAAAGAUGCUUAAUCCUUAAGAAAUGCCAACGUUGGGAGGGGGAGGGAAGUCAGUUACAGGAGGUUAGCAGCCUAGCACAAUAAAAUGCAGAUUUAAGUCCUUGCCUUUGGUAUU